CCCUGCUGUGAUCCUGCCCGGUUCCUCGUGCAGGGUCGGGCCAGGGCAGUACUGGUGGGAGAGUCGGAGGAAAGUCCAGGUACUGCAGGGA
rnacentral:rRNA from 1 species